rnacentral:rRNA from 1 species
UGGCGGACGGGUGAGUAAUGUCUGGGAAACUGCCUGAUGGAGGGGGAUAACUACUGGAAACGGUAGCUAAUACCGCAUAACGUCGCAAGACCAAAGAGGGGGACCUUCGGGCCUCUUGCCAUCGGAUGUGCCCAGAUGGGAUUAGCUAGUAGGUGGGGUAACGGCUCACCUAGGCGACGAUCCCUAGCUGGUCUGAGAGAAUGACCAGCCACACUGGAACUGAGACACGGUCCAGACUCCUACGGGAGGCAGCAUG